ACGAACGCUGGCGGCGUGCUUAACACCUGCCCGUCGAACGGAAAGGCCCUGCUUUUGUGGGGUGCUCGAGUGGCGAACGGGUGAGUAACACGUGAGUAACCUGCCCUUGACUUUGGGAUAACUUCAGGAAACUGGGGCUAAUACCGGAUAGGAGCUCCUGCUGCAUGGUGGGGGUUGGAAAGUUUCGGCGGUUGGGGAUGGACUCGCGGCUUAUCAGCUUGUUGGUGGGGUAGUGGCUUACCAAGGCUUUGACGGGUAGCCGGCCUGAGAGGGUGACCGGCCACAUUGGGACUGAGAUACGGCCCAGACUGCUACGGGAGGCAGCAGUGGGGAAUAUUGCACAAUGGGCGGAAGCCUGAUGCAGCAACGCCGCGUGCGGGAUGACGGCCUUCGGGUUGUAAACCGCUUUCGCCUGUGACGAAGCGUGAGUGACGGUAAUGGGUAAAGAAGCACCGGCUAACUACGUG
rnacentral:rRNA from 1 species